rnacentral:rRNA from 1 species
CCCUUAGACGUUCUGGGCCGCACGCGCGCUACACUGACCAGUGCAACAAGCAUCCGUCCUUGGCUCGAGAGGCCUGGGCAACCUUUGAACGCCAGUCGUGCUGGGGAUAGAUUCUUGCAAUUAUUAAUCUUCAACGAGGAAUUCCUAGUAAACGCAAGUCAUCAGCUUGCAUUGAUUACGUCCCUGCCCUUUGUACACACCGCCCGUCGCACCUACCGAUUGAAUGGUCCGGUGAAAUCCUCGGAUCGAGCCGUGGGGCAACUCCGGUUCGAGAAGUUGAUUAAACCUUACCAUUUAGAGGAAGGUGAAGUCGUAACA